GAGCUGCGCUUCCUAAAAGCUCUGUUAGUGAAUCUUUUGCAGUUUCAGGUUCAGGGAUAAAAAGAGGAGACACCAGGUAGCUGUCACUACUUCCUCACUCCUGGUAUCACCUACUUGGGUGUGAGAUGUGUUGGAAAAAUCAUCCAUGAACCUGCUCCAUCAUGCCAAAGAAGCCAAGAAGGACCAGCCUGACCAACAUGGUGAAACCCCGUCUCUACUAAAAAUACGAAAAAUUAGCUGGGCAUGGUGGCAGGCACCUGUAAUCUCAGCUACUCCGGAGGCUGAGGCAGGAGAAUCGCUUGAACCCGCAGGCGGAAGUUGCAGUGAGCCGGGAUCACGCCACUGCACUCCAGCCUGGGUGCGACAGAGUGAGACUCCAUCUUGAAGGAAAAAAAAAGGGAAAGAAAGAAAAAAAGUAAUAAAGAAAAGCAAAGUAAAGAAGCGUGGAAGAGUGGAAAGAUAGGAACUACCUAGACAUAUUCUUUUUCAAUGACAAUCAUGCUCUUUUAGUUUUUUAUGUCUAAGAUUAUUUAGAGAAAAAAUCUUAUUCUACCCUAAAAACCAUCAUGGCAACAAGUUUACUAUUUUGAAACAGGAGAAAAUUCCAUUUUAAAAAUGACAGCGAAUAGGAAGGACAUUCCAUGGUGAAAAUAUUUUCCUUACUUUCAUUCUCAAAAUAUUUGUUAGGACUAAGGGGAAAUAUACAAGUAAAUAUUACUGGAAAAAAUGUAUAGCCCUAUUAAAAUAUAUUUAUUAAGUUGAAAUUCCUUCAAAAUAAAAUUGUCUAGCCAAAGGUGAAAUCUACAAUAUCAGUUCCAAAGCAUUAUUAAGCACCUACAAAGCACAGUACCUAGCUCUGUGGAGGUCACAAAGAUUAAUAAACUUUUCAGAGACCAUGCAAAAUAU
rnacentral:lncRNA from 1 species